GCCGAAAUAGCUCAGUUGGCAGAGCGUUAGACUUUGGAUUAAAGGUCCCUGAUUCGAACCUGGGCUUUUUUU
rnacentral:tRNA from 1 species